UACAGAGGUCUCAAGCGUUGUUCGGAAUCACUGGGCGUAAAGGGUGCGUAGGUGGCGUGGAAAGUCAGAUGUGAAAGCCCGGGGCUCAACCUCGGAAUUGCAUCCGAUACUACCAUGCUAGAGUACUGAAGAGGUGACUAGAAUUCUCGGUGUAGCAGUGAAAUGCGUAGAUAUCGAGAGGAAUACCAACGGCGAAGGCAGGUCACUGGGCAGUUACUGACACUGAGGCACGAAGGCCAGGGGAGCAAACGGG
rnacentral:rRNA from 2 species